UACGGAGGGUGCGAGCGUUGUCCGGAAUUACUGGGCGUAAAGCGUGCGCAGGCGGUUUUGUAAGACAGGCGUGAAAUCCCCGGGCUCAACCUGGGAACUGCGCUUGUGACUGCAAGGCUAGAGUAUGGCAGAGGGGGGUGGAAUUCCACGUGUAGCAGUGAAAUGCGUAGAGAUGUGGAGGAACACCGAUGGCGAAGGCAGCCCCCUGGGCCAAUACUGACGCUCAUGCACGAAAGCGUGGGU
rnacentral:rRNA from 1 species